rnacentral:rRNA from 1 species
GGGGAAUAUUGCACAAUGGGCGCAAGCCUGAUGCAGCAACGCCGCGUGAGGGAUGACGGCCUUCGGGGUGUAAACCACUGUCAGGAGGGAAGAAAGGCGCUGACUCGAACAGGGUCUAGCGAUUGACGGUACCUCCAAAGGAAGCGCCGGCUAACCACGUGCCAGCAGCCGCGGUAAGACGGAGGGCGCAAGCGUUGUUCGGAAUUACUGGGCGUAAAGCGCGGGCAGGCGGUCUGUUAAGUCGUUUGUGAAAAUCCGGGGCUCAACCCCGGAAAUGCAUACGAUACUGGCAGGCUGGAGACUGGUAGAGGCUAGCGGAAUUCCUGGUGUAGCGGUGGAAUGCGUAGAUAUCAGGAAGAACACCUGUGGCGAAGGCGGCUAGCUGGGCCAGUUCUGACGCUCAUCCGCGAAAGCGUGGGGAGCAAA